rnacentral:rRNA from 1 species
GAUGAACGCUGGCGGCGUGCCUAAUACAUGCAAGUCGAGCGAACGGACGAGAAGCUUGCUUCUCUGAUGUUAGCGGCGGACGGGUGAGUAACACGUGGAUAACCUACCUAUAAGACUGGGAUAACUUCGGGAAACCGGAGCUAAUACCGUAUAAUAUUUUGAACCGCAUGGUUCAAAAGUGAAAGACGGUCUUGCUGUCACUUAUAGAUGGAUCCGCGCUGCAUUAGCUAGUUGGGAAGGUAACGGCCUACCAAGGCAACGAUGCAUAGCCGACCUGAGAGGGUGGUCGGCCACACUGGAACUGAGACACGGUCCAGACUCCUACGGGAGGCAGCAGUAGGGAAUCUUCCGCAAUGGGCGAAAGCAUGACGGAGCAAGGCCGCGUGAGUGAUGAAGGUCUUCGGAUCGUAAAACUCUGUUAUUAGGGAAGAACAUAUGUGUAAGUAACUGUGCACAUCUUGACGGUACCUAAUCAGAAAGCCACGGCUAACUACGUG